GAGCUGCUCGUCCGGAGAGGACACGGAGACAGAGAGGAGACACGGAGACGGAGAGGAGACACGGAGACAGAGAGGAGACACGGAGACAGAGAGGAGACACGGAGACAGAGAGGAGACACGGAGACAGAGAGGAGACACGGAGACGGAGAGGACAGACAGAGACAGAGAGGAGACACAGAGACGGAGAGGACAGACAGAGACCAUGGCCGCGGCGGUGACGGCGGUCAGCGGUAAGAAGCCGUUCUGUCCCCGGGGCUCCGGUCCUCGGAGCCGGGAGCUUUCCCGCCGCAGAGCCGCUGCUCUGCUGUUCCUCAGCAACAUCUCUCUGGACGGAAGACCCGCUGGACCCGCAGAGACACAGAGACCCGAGACCAGCUCAGAGCUACCGGGGACCAACGGAGGCUACGGGACCUUCACCUGCACCGGGAACCAGACCCAGACCCUGUCCCUGGUACCAGCACCGAGGACCGGACCGGGGCUCCUCAGCAUCCCCCCCAUCCUGGUCCUGCCGUCGGACCCGUCCUCCACCGAGCUGCUGCUGGAGGACACAGCCCGCAGAGCCUCGUCUCCUCUACCGGGGACCAGGGCCCUGCUGUCCCCGUCCCCGUCCCCAUCCCGGUCCAGCCUGCUGUCCCCGUCCCCGUCCCGGUCCCCGUCCACCGCCAGCCUGCUGCCGUCCCCGCUGGGACCAAGGAAGUCAUCCACGCUGCUGUCUGUCCAGAGCUGCAACUCGGUGUCCUCAGAGCCGAGACAAAGGACUCGAAACCUGUCUGGUGGAUCACCCAGACCUCGACACACCAAGAAGACCCACUUCAUCAAAAACAUGAAACAGUACGACACCAGAGGCAGCAGGAUCGUGCUGAUCUGUGCUAAGAGGUCUCUGUGUGCUGCCUUCUCUGUUCUGCCCUACGGAGAGAGCUUCUACCUCAGUGACCCGACAUUGAACCACCCCCAGAGGAGACACUCGUCCGGUAACAUCUCCACCACCCUGGAGAUGCUGCCAGGGCUGGAGGGCUUUCAGCUGGACACCUACGGCAGGUCGGUGUCGUACGCCCAGUUCCUGUACCCCACCAACGCCCUGGUGAGACAGAAGCCGUCGUCGACCAGCGACCUGACGCUGCAGGUUCCCGUCUCCAGGAGCACACACAGCGUGGCGGGCCGGAGCUGUCCACCCAGCAGACUGAACAGCGCUGUGGGACUGGACCUGGGUGUUGAAGACGUGACGGACUACGACCCCUCCCUCCUCAGUGACCCCCAGUGGCCUUGUGGGAAACACAAGCGGGUGUUGAUCUUCGCCUCCUACAUGACAACGGUAAUAGAAUACGUCAAACCGUCGGAUCUGAAGAAAGACAUGAACGAGACGUUUAAGGAGAAGUUUCCUCACAUUAAACUGACCCUCAGCAAGAUCCGCAGUCUGAAGAGAGAGAUGAGAGUCGUCGGGGAGGACUGCGGCAUGCAGCCCGUCACCAUCGCCAUGGCGUUCGUCUACUUUGAGAAGUUGGUGCUGCAGGGUCGACUCAAUAAACAGAACAGGAAGUUGGUGUCGGCUGCUUGCAUCCUAUUGGCUGCUAAGAUCAGCAGUGACCUCAAGAAGCAGGAAGUGAAACACCUCAUCGAUAAGUUGGAGGAGCGCUUCAGGAUCAGCAGGAAGGAGCUGAUCUCAUUUGAGUUCACCAUCCUGGUCGCCCUGGAGAUGGCGCUCUACCUGCCGGACAGCAAAGUCCUGCCUCACUACAGGAAGCUGGUGCAGCAGCAGCAGUCGUAGUCCUCCUGAUGCCUGGCUCAGAGGCACUAAGACACUGGCUGUUCCUCCUCUCUGCUCACGAUGCAGACACCAAAGUUGAUCCACACUGUGACGGUAGUAUGACAGCAGUGCCUGGCUCAACGGAACACAGCAGCCCACAGAGCAACACGGCCUUCUGUCCUCCCUCAAACUCCAAAGUGACGACACACUGUGAUCGACGGUUCAGCAGCGGGACCGAUGCCUGGCUCAACAGCACUGAACUUUGGGCUCAUCUGGAGUGUUGGAGCAGGAGGUCAGAGGUCAGAGGUCAGAGGCCUGUACUACGAAGCAGGAUGUGGGGUUAGUGAGGUAACUUCAGGGAUUUCAGUCCUACGACGGCGGGUCACUUCUUACCGGGGUAGAUCACCACGCUUAGCCACGCUUUAAAGAAGCGUACGAUUUAAAGAAGCGUACGUUUUAAAGACGCGUACGCUUUAAAGACGCGGACGGUUUAAAGACGCGGACGGUUUAAAGACGCGGACGGUUUAAAGACGCGGACGGUUUAAAGACGUGUACGCUUUAAAGAAGCGGACGCUUUAAAGACGCGGACGCUUUAAAGACGCGGACGCUUUAAAGACGCGGACGCAUUAAAGACGCGGACGGUUUAGAGACGCGUACGCUUUAAAGAAGCGGACGCAUUAAAGACGCGGACGGUUUAAAGAUGCGGACGCUUUAAAGAAGCGGACGCUUUAAAGACGCGGACGCUUUAAAGACGCGGACGCUUUAAACACGCGGACGCUUUAAACACGCGGACGCUUUAAACACGCGGACGCAUUAAAGACGGCGGUUUGGGUUGAAGUUUUCUCUCCUGCUCCAAUUUGAAGUAGUGAAUAAAAAGCAGAUAUAUAUUAUAUAUUAUAAUAAACUGUUAUCUUUGUGAAAUACAUGAAAAGAAAAAGUACAUUUUGGCAAUAAACAGCUGAAGAGCUGAAGAGCUUCCUUUGUUACUGAAAUAUGAAAUACUAAAGAACUAUGUUAAAUAUGAGACAGCACACGGUUUUCCAAAGUCGUCUUCUCUACAUUAGAGAUUUCUGAUAUUGAUUCUAUGCAGAUUUUAUUUUGACAGCUGACCUUCAUCUUCCUCUUCCUCAGUGUGUUGACCUGUAAUGUGCCUCUUUUAUUUAAACCUCACAUGUUGUGUUUGGUGUAUUGUUUUGUAUUGAAUAAUUAUUAUUUUAUUCUGCUGUAAGGCUGUAAAGGGAAAUAUUAACCGAGUUCCAUUUCUAAUUGUUGUUUUCACAUUUUAAGUUAAACUGAUCAGUUUUUUAUGGACAACGGGGACGAGCCAAGUAGAGGCAUCAUAUGAAGUUCAUUUGUGGGAAUAUUAUUUAUGUAUAAACAGAGUUUAGGGCCGUUAACUUGUGACCAGAGUAGUUGAUUUAUAUAUUUUGUACCGUGUUAGCAGAGUCUUAUACUGACUACACUGUCAACAGCUGCUGUUACUGUGGAGUCCGUCACACUACAGGACACAAAACUGGAGGAGAUUAAUGGAUGGAGAUAUUUAUAAAACUAUUUUGUAAAAGAUAAAGACCAUAUACUGUUUUAACUGCCAAUGUUCGAUUCAUGUCAAGUUUAUUUUCAUUAAAAAUAUGUAAAUGAC